rnacentral:pre_miRNA from 1 species
UCUUUAUUUUUCACGCUAUCUUACCGGUCAGAGUGACGAGAGAGUGUGCGAAAUGAAGAGA